UACGUAGGAUGCAAGCGUUGUCCGGAAUUAUUGGGCGUAAAGAGCUCGUAGGCGGUUUGUCGCGUCUGCCGUGAAAGUCCGGGGCUCAACUCCGGAUCUGCGGUGGGUACGGGCAGACUAGAGUGAUGUAGGGGAGACUGGAAUUCCUGGUGUAGCGGUGAAAUGCGCAGAUAUCAGGAGGAACACCGAUGGCGAAGGCAGGUCUCUGGGCAUUAACUGACGCUGAGGAGCGAAAGCAUGGGGAGCGAACAGG
rnacentral:rRNA from 1 species